rnacentral:lncRNA from 1 species
AUGUACAUUGAAGGCCUAGUUUUCAAUUUUAUGUUUCAUAUCAACUGUUUUAUUAGUCCUAAACUAACCUUGCCCCAAUAUGGGCUAUAAAGUCAGUUAAAUAUGUAUAUUUGAUUACAAUGGUUUAACCUUAAGUUCAACAACAACAACAACAACAACAACAAAGCCUUUUCCCACUAAGUGGGGUCGGCUAUAUGAAUCCUAGAACGCCAUUGCGCUCGGUUUUGUGUCAUGUCCUCCGUUAGAUCCAAGUACUCUAAGUCUUUUCUUAGAGUCUCUUCCAAAGUUUUCCUAGGUCUUCCUCUACCCCUUCGGCCCUGAACCUCUGUCCCGUAGUCACAUCUUCGAACCGGAGCGUCAGUCGGCCUUCUUUGCACAUGUCCAAAUCACCAGAGCCGAUUUUCUCUCAUCUUUCCUACAAUUUCGGCUACUCCUACUGUACCUCGGAUAUCCUCAUUCCCAAUCUUAUCCUUUCCCGUGUGCCCACACAUCCCACGAAGCAUCCUCAUCUCCGCUACACCCAUUUUGUGUACGUGUUGAUGCUUCACCACCCAACAUUCUCUGCCAUACAACAUCGCUGGCCUUAUUGCCGUCCUAUAAAAUUUUCCCUUGAGCUUCAGUGGCCUACGACGGUCACACAACACGCCGGAUGCACUCUUUCCAUCCAGCUCGUAUUCUAUGGUUGAGAUCUCCAUCUAAUUCUCCGUUCUCUUUGCAAGAUAGAUCAUAGGUAACGAAAACGGUCGCUUUUUGUGAUCUUCGCUAGAUUGCUCCGGUCAUUAGUGUGGAUAAGUAUAUAAAUGGAUAGAGAUAGGAAAGCAAACACAAGAUGUACGUGGUUCACCCAGAUUGGCUACGUCCACGGAAUAGAAGAGUUCGCAUUAAUUGUGAAGGGUUUACACAAGUACAUAGGUUCAAGCUCUCCUUUAGUGAGUACGAGUGAAUGAUUUAGUACAAAUGACAUUAGGAAAUAUUGUGGGAGAAUGAUCUCGUAAUCACGAAACUUCUAAGUAUCGGAGUGUGGUGUCGUCUUGACUUGCCUUAUCUGUCUCAUAGGUAGAUGUGGCAUCUUCUCUGGAAGUACUCUUCCUCCAUCCAGGGGUGGUAUCUUUAACUGGUGGAGAUGCACAAGGUAAUGUAUCAAUUUCACUUGAAGCUUACUUGUAGUUUCAGGCUUGGUCAAGCGCGAUACAAACCAUGUAGUAGGAGUCCCCCAAGUCGCCGAGCUAGGGGGUCUGCUGAAAGAGGUGACAGACAAGGUAAAGCAAUCAGAGCUCCGACUGAUUGUUCACCUUCUCCCCAUCUUGCAGCAGCAUGAAGGAUAAAGAGAAGAAAAAUGAGAAGAGAUGAUAUGAGAUACUUUUGCUUUUGAAGAAGUAACUUUCCACAGGCUUAUUCUUGAACUGAGCUGGAGGGUUUUCUGGUUUCCUCCAGAGUAUAAGGCCGACUGAAGAAUUUGAGGGUCAAAACAAGUCCAUCAAAUCUAGAGUACGUUCCACCCUGCUGAUAUGGGAUACUUUUGCUUUUGACAGAGUAAUGGAUGUAUCGGCACGUGUGCUGUUACGCUUGUCUCCACAUGCUUCCUUGUAUCCUUCGCACUUGCCCUAUCUGUUCCUCAAGCAGAUGCGGAAUCUUCCCUGGAAACAUAAGAUGUUGAAGAUGAGUACUCGAGAGCAAUGCCAGGUAAGUAAUCAGGUAAGGGGUUCCAGGCAGUCAGUUCCUGGCUGGAAGCUUGAUUCCAAGUGCUGACUGAUUGCUCUCUUUCUCCUUGUCUUGCAGGUAAAAACAAGGCCAAAAGAAAAAACAGGAAAAAAGCAUGAUAUGGGAUACUCUUGCUUUUAACCCUGAUGAUAUGAGAUAUUCUUGCUCUAGUAUAGCUUGUUUGCAGAGGUAUUAUCGGGGGGAAAGAAAGCUGAAUAUUUCGAAAGGCUUUGUUGGGAGUGCCCUCUCAGAUAUGAUGAAGGGUUGAGCAUUUUUGCAGGUCUGCCUGUCCGUUGGGGAUGGAGGUCGACAUAUAUAGGAGUCUCCCUAACAACAAGUAGUAAUGCUAUUCCUUUACCCUGCUUGGUCAUAGCACGGUAGUGGGAGCUGCCAGUUUCACAUGUUUUAACUCUGUCAGAGCACUUUGAAAAAGUGGUCUAUGGUAUCUGGCUCUCGAGAUUCGGAGAACGAUGCCUCUUCGAUUUUUGAGAAAGCAAUCAUGUUGGGGGUCUGACUCUCGAGAUUCGGAGAGCAGUGUCUCUUCGAUUUUUGAGGAAGUAAUCAUGUUGGGAGUCUGGCUCUCGAGAUUCGGAGGGCGGUGCCUCUUCGAUUUUGGAGCAAGCAAUCUUGUUGGGAGUGUUGUCUCGAAUGUGAGUAAAGGUUGGACAUGUUUGCUAGUCUACCUUGCCACGAAGCACAAAGGUUGACACAUAGGGACUUUCCAAUUAUCCAGCAAUGGUACUGUUCCUUUACCCUCUCUUCGAUUUUGAGAAAGUAGUCAUGUUGGGAGUCUGGCUCUCGAGAUUCGGAGGACGGUGCCUCUUCGAUUUUGGAGCAAGCAAUCUUGUUGGGACUGUUUUUCUCGAAUGUGAGUAAAGGUUGGGCAUGUUUGCUAGUCUACCUUGCCACGAAGCACAGAGGUUGACACACAGGGACUUUCCAAUUAUCCAGCAGUGGUACUGUUCCUUUACCCUUGUGGGUAAUAAUAUGGUAGCUAGACCUUCAAAAUUUAUGUGUCUAAACUUUGUUAGUGCUGUUUCUUUGCUAUUCUUUUACCUUUCUUGGUCAGAGCGAUGUAGUGGGAGCUGCAAGCUUCACGUGCUCAACUUUGGCAGAGAACUUUGGCAAAGUGAUCUGUGGUACCCAUGAGUUAUUGUUGCGUGUGGGAAGUGGGUGAUUGAACAGUAAGAUUCAUGUGCUUUCUACUUCACCAGAAGUCUUCGACAGAAUGCCCAUAAUUUCUGCAAAGCUGAGUGUGCGUGUGUGACAGGUGCUGACAAGGCUAGAAAAGUAGGUGCCUCUUUGAUUUCUGAGAUCGGCCCUCGUGGUCUCUGAGCAGCCCAGCUUUUGAGAAAGCGAGCGCCUCUUCGAUUGAUUCGGAGAACGGUGCCUCACCGAUUUUUGAGAAAGCAAUCAUGCUGGGGGUCUGGCUCUCGAGAUUCGGGGAGCAGUGUCUCUUCGAUUUUUGAGAAAGUAAUCAUGUUGGGAGAGUGGCUCUCGAGAUUCGGAGGGCGGUGCCUCUUCGAUUUUGGAGCAAGCAAUCUUGUUGGGAGUGUUUUCUCGAAUGUGAGUAAAGGUUGGGCAUGUUUGCUAGUCUACCUUGCCACGAAGCACAGAGGUUGACACACAGGGACUUUCCAAUUAUCCAGCAAUGGUACUGUUCCUUUACCCUCUCUUCGAUUUUUAAGAAAGUAGUCAUGUUGGGAGUCUGGCUCUUUAGAUUCGGAGGACGGUGCCUCUUCGAUUUUGGAGCAAGCAAUCUUAUUGGGACUGUUUUCUCGAAUGUGAGUAAAGGUUGGGCAUGUUUGCUAGUCUACCUUGCCACGAAGCACAGAGGUUGACAUACAUGGACUUUCCAAUUAUCCAGCAAUGGUACUGUUCCUUUACCCUUGUGGGUAAUAAUAUGGUAGCUAGACCUUCAAAAUUUAUGGGUCUAAACUUUGUUAGUGCUGUUUCUUUGCUAUUCUUUUACCCUUCUUGGUCAGAGCGAUGUAGUGGGAGCUGCAAGCUUCACGUGCUCAACUUUGGCAGAGAACUUUGGCAAAGUUAUCUGUGGUACCCAUGAGCUAUUGUUGCGUGUGGGAAGUGGGUGAUUGAACAGUAAGAUUCAUGUGUUUUCUACUUCCCCAUAAGUCUUUGACAGAAUGCCCAUAAUUUCCGCAAAGCUGAGUGUGCGUGUGACAGGUGCUGACAAGGCUGGAAAAGUAGGUGCCUCUUCGAUUUCUGAGAUCGGCCCUCGUGGUCUCUAGGGAGCCCAGCUUUUGAGAAAGCGAGCGCCUCUUCGAUUUCUGAGAUCGGCCUUCGUGGUCUUUGAGCAGCCCAACUUUUGAGAAAGCAAACGGCUCUUCGAUUUCUGAGAUCAACCCUCGUGAUCUCUAAGCAGCCCAGCUUUUGAGAAAGCAAACGCCUCUUCGAUUUCUGAGCAGGCGCCUCUUUGAUUUCUGAAGCUCCGUCGAGUGCAGAUUUUUAUAGGGGCUGGCAUUAAGUUCCAAAGCACACUUGAAUCUCCACCAGUAGAAGCUUCAUUCUUGCACUUCUAAGAUCUUGAUUUGUCCGACCUCUUCUCUCUUCAACACCUUUGAAAAUGUCUGGCCCCUCCGACCGUCGUUUUGACUUGAACCUUGUUGAAGAGGCAGCCCCGCCUUCUCCAGACAACAUAUGGCGCCCAUCCUUCGUCUCCCCAACUGGUCCUCUUACCGUUGGGGAUUCCGUGAUGAAGAAUGAUAUGACCGCUGCGGUGGUGGCCAGGAACCUUCUCACUCCCAAAGAUAACAGACUACUUUCCAAACGGUCUGAUGAGUUAGCUGUUAAGGAUUCGCUGGCUCUCAGUGUUCAGUGUGCAGGUUCUGUGUCUAAUAUGGCACAACGCCUAUUUGCUCGAACCCGCCAAGUUGAAUCAUUGGCGGCUGAAGUGAUGAGUCUCAAACAGGAGAUUAGAGGGCUCAAGCAUGAGAAUAAACAGUUGCACCGGCUCGCACAUGACUAUGCUACAAACAUGAAGAGGAAGCUUGACCAGAUGAAGGAAACUGAUGGUCAGGUUUUACUUGAUCAUCAGAGAGAUUUGUGGGUUUGUUCCAAAGGCAUUUAUUGCCUUCGUCUUCUGGGGCUGUACCGCGUAAUGAAGCUCCAAAUGAUCAACCUCUGAUGCCUCCUCCUUCUAGGGUUCUGUCCAGUACUGAGGCUCCAAAUGAUCCCCCUCCGGUGCCUUCUCUUUCUGGGGCUCUACCGACUGCUGAGACUUCUCCUAAGCAACCUUUGUGAAUGCUCCAUCUUGUGUGUUUAUUUUGACUCAUGUAUAUGUACAUAUUUGUAGCUUAUCGGGGAUAUCAAUAAAUAAGCUUUCCUUCAUUUCAACGUAUUGUGUUAAAUACACCAAAGCCUUCUUCGCUAAGUUCUUUGAAUUUUCUUUUGUUGAAGCUUGUAUGUUGAAGCUUUCUGAGUGGAGCAUGUAGGUUGGGGUAGUGUUCCCUUAAUUUCCCGAGUGAGGAAAACUUCUUGGUUGGAGACUUGGAAAAUCCAAGUCACUGAGUGGGAUCGGCUAUAUGAAUCUUAGAACGCCAUUGUGCUCGAUCCUGUGUCAUGUCCUUCGUUUAACCUUAAGUUCAUUAGUAGGAAUUCCUUGAGUACCCAAUAUAUAUGUAUUAACUAAGAUUGAAAUUACAAAAAGAGAAAAGGAUAAUUGGUGAAAGUAUAAUAUAUAUUUCUCAGUUAUUAGUGUAUCAUAAUUGUAGACAUUCAUUAGCUUGCAUGCAGAUUCUAUAGAGAUAGACUAGAAAGGAGAAAAAUGGUUUGGUCCUUUUAUCCAUAUUUGAGGACAGCACCAAUAAAUUUGUAUUAUGCCUGCUACCUUUAAAUGUGUAAAUUUAUUGG